rnacentral:lncRNA from 1 species
UUUCUCCUGAACAACAACAAUGAAAACAUCUCUCCCGAAUAACAUGCACUGAACCAGCUACCUAUGCUCUAUCGGAGAGAGAGAGAGAGCCCAAGCAGAAGGAGAAGGAGGCAGAGGGAGAAGCAGACUCCCCACUGAGCAAGAAACCCAGGACCCUGGGCUCAUGACCUGAGCUAAAGGC